CCGGAGAUAGCUGGUUCUCCUCGAAAUAGCUUUAGGGCUAGCCUCAUACAAGUCUUGCGGAGGUAGAGCACUGAAUUCCUACGGGGGCGUCAAAGCUUACCAAGGGAUAUCAAACUCCGAAUGCCGUGUAGAUGAUGUAUGGGAGUCAGACUAUCCGAGAUAAGUUGGGUAGUCGAAAGGGAAAGAGCCCAGACCUGCAGCUAAGGCCCCAAAAUGUGUGUUAAGUGGAAAAGGAUGUGGGAUUUCGAAGACAACUAGGAUGUUGGCUUAGAAGCAGCCAUCCAUUAAAAGAGUGCGUAAUAGCUCACUAGUCGAGAGGUCCUGCGCCGAAAAUGUCCGGGGCUGAAACACACUGCCGAAGCUCAGGGAUGAACAGUGAUCAAUACAGAUCAAUGCAAGAGGAAAGCUUCUUGAUGAAAUCAAGAAGAUUCCAAAACAGAUGAAACAGACUGCUGUUGGUCUGCGUUGAUCACUGUUCAUCGGUAGAGGAGCAUUCUUAAAGAGACGAAGCUGUACCGAAAGGAGCAGUGGAUUUUUAAGAAGAGAGAAUGCCGGAAUGAGUAGCGAGAAAGAGGUGAGAAUCCUCUUGGCCGAAUAUCUAAGGUUUCCAGGGUAAAGCUGAUCUGCCCUGGGUAAGUCGGGGCCUAAGGCGAGGUCGAAAGACGUAGUCGAUGGAUAACAGGUUGAAAUUCCUGUACUAUCCUGUAACAGAACUGUGGGGACGCAGACAGAGAGCACAAGCCGGGAAUGGAAAGACCGGUGCAAGCGAGGUAGGAGUACAUCAGGCAAAUCCGGUGUGCAAUCCGAAGACGUGAUGCGGAUCGAAAAGAAGUAGAGAAGUGUGUGAGCUGGCUGCCAAGAAAAGCCGCUAUUGUUUACAGGAUACCCGUACCGUAAACCGACACAGGUGGAUGAGGAGAGAAUCCUAAGGCCGACGGGAGAAGCAUUGUUAAGGAACUCGGCAAAAUGACUCCGUAACUUCGGGAGAAGGAGUGCCAUGCGAAUGGCCGCAGAGAAUUGGCCCAAGCAACUGUUUAGCAAAAACACAGGUCUAUGCGAAACCGAAAGGUGAGGUAUAUGGGCUGACGCCUGCCCGGUGCUGGAAGGUUAAGGGGAGAGGUUAGCGCAAGCGAAGCUUUGAACUUAAGCCCCAGUAAACGGCGGCCGUAACUAUAACGGUCCUAAGGUAGCGAAAUUCCUUGUCGGGUAAGUUCCGACCCGCACGAAAGGCGUAAUGAUUUGGGCACUGUCUCAACAAUGCACCCGGUGAAAUUGAAAUACCAGUGAAGAUGCUGGUUACCUGCGCCAGGACGGAAAGACCCCAUGGAGCUUUACUCUAGCUUGAUACUGGGAUUCGAUAUUGCAUGUACAGGAUAGGUGGGAGACUAGGAAGUGGUGACGCCAGUUGCCAUGGAGUCAAUGUUGGGAUACCACCCUUGCAGUAUUGGGUUUCUAACCAGCAGCCGUGAUCCGGCUGGGGGACAAUGUCAGGUGGGGAGUUUGACUGGGGCGGUCGCCUCCGAAAGGGUAUCGGAGGCGCUCAAAGGUUCCCUCAGAAUGGUUGGAAACCAUUCGAAGAGUGCAAAGGCAGAAGGGAGCUUGACUGCGACACCGACGGGUGGAGCAGGUACGAAAGUAGGACUUAGUGAUCC
rnacentral:rRNA from 1 species